rnacentral:rRNA from 1 species
UACGGAGGGGGCAAGCGUUACUCGGAAUUAUUGGGCGUAAAGGGCGCGUAGGCGGUCGUGCGCGUCGGAGGUGAAAUCCCCGGGCUUAACCCGGGAGCUGCCUCCGAUACGGCAUGGCUUGAGUCCGGGAGAGGGGAGCAGAAUUCCCAGUGUAGCGGUGAAAUGCGUAGAUAUUGGGAGGAAUACCGGCGGCGAAGGCGGCUCCCUGGACCGGUACUGACGCUGAGGCGCGAAAGCGUGGGUAGCAAACAGG